rnacentral:lncRNA from 10 species
AGUAAGCGCAAAGGCUCUGAGGCAGUUUCAUCUGAGAAACUGGCCCCACCAGUCCUGGGCCCAACAUCAGCCCGCCCUCAUCAUGGGUUUCCAGCUGCUCCUGUAAAGUCAACAGUGCCCAGGAACAAUGAAGAAGGAGGGGACAGCAGGGAGGCCCAUAGCCCACUGUGCUCCCUCGCAAGCAUGUGACCCUCAGGAAUGACUGGCAGAGUAACUCUGGACUUGGCCAUGUGACUUUCUUGGGCCAAUGGGACAUGAGCAAGCAUGAUACCAGCAGGGAUUUGAUUCUUCCUCCACCUCAGCUGAAAGGAUUCAUCUUGCAGCACGGCCCACCUUGGAACCCUUUGUGUUUGCUGAAACUUUCUUUGUGAUUAUUCUUAUGUCACUGCAUAGCAUGUAAAUGUAUCACACCCCCCCCCCACCCAUUAUUAUUAUCUCCUAGUAUGCACCAGGCACUGGCCAUAAAUUAUUUCUAAUCAUCAUUAAAACUCUACCACGGUUAUCCUCCCUCUAUGGAUAGGAAAACUAAGGCUUGGAGGUUGAAGAGGUCAUGGAUCUUGUCCAAGGUCACUAAACUCAUAAAUGUCACAGUCAAAAUUUGAAUCUAGAUAGAGUUGUCAGCUCCAAAGAAGUUUGCUCAGUCAGUUCUUCCCCAAAUUAGCUUUUUAUCCAAAUUUGCUGAGAAGCUUUUUAAAAAUACAUCUUCUUUACAACAAAGCCAGAGAAAGAAUAAGGCAGCUCUCUGCACAACAAUAUGGUGCUCGUAUAUGCCUAGAACAUCUCCAGGAAGAAGGGCCGGUACAGGACCAGGUCAGCCUGUCCUCAUUACAUCAGCAGGGUGAGCCAAGGGAGGUUGCCUAAAAAUUCAACUGGCUGUCCCCAUGCCUUCUGCUCCCGCUUCUGGAAGGGAAGACAGGGCAGGGACCAUGUCCAGCUGCAGAAAAUCCCAGUGUUUUUCUGUGGCAUUGCCUGGUAAAGGCUGAACGUGGCUUUCGUGAGAGCUAAUCUGCCUGCCCAACCAGAUUGUGCUGUGGCUAAAAUUGCUGUGAGCUCGACAGUGCCUGAAGACUGGAGAAAACUGAGCCAUGUCUUGGAUGCUCUUGCGGGGCCUAGGGGAGUGCCAGGCCAGAAGGAGAACUGCCUGUGGACUCUCAGUAGGAAAGCAGCUAACGAGGUGAUGAGUGAGUGUCGCCUGGAAGUCUGGGGGCCAUUCCAUGUGGGUCACAUCGCCUGACCAGAGGGUUGGGUGCCUGGACAGGGCUGAGCUUGGGACUCCUUCCAGGGCCUGGCCUCAGCUGCUGGGCCUGCCGAGCAUGCCCCACAAGCACCCACGCACACAUACAAGUAUGGAGGCAGAGUGGAAGUUUGACUUUUGCAGAUCUCGUACAGCCUGGAGUAGAGAAGAGAAUUGGGAACUCUCAAUGUUGUGUGACCCUAGGCAAGUCCCUUCCCUGCCUUGUGCCUCAGUUUCCCUUUACAUACCAUGAGGAUGUUCCCAGUGUUGGUGUUUUAAUGCCUGCAGACAAGCUAAGCUCAUCAUCUGGUUCCCGGAAGAGAUCCUCCUUUUGUGGAAAGGCCACAGCCACUCUGCCACCCUGAGGCUCCCACUCCUCCUUCUCUGGAACCCUCUCCCUUGCCUGUAGGUCACGGGAAUGUCAAGAGCACCCAGGGAAGUGCCUGCUGCCAGUCAUCACUCACUGAUUAUGUGACAGCAGAGGAGCCAAGAAGCUGCUGGGAAUCGAGACACCCCCCCAUUCAGUCCCCACCAUCUCUGUCUUCAUGAGGUUCCCUGGGAGAAGCUCCUAUGUCUGGGAAUGGAAAUGUCUCCACCUGGAUAGGGACAAACAGGAGCUGGGGGCUGCAUCUUAAGACUUCUUGUCCCAUUAGUGCUGACCUCUGGAGACGGCUCCUGAAUUGUGCCCACUCCCCCACCUCCUCACCACACACAUGCUCUGGGCCGUGCGAGGCUCAGCUUGUCACGGACAAGCUAAAAUGAGGUGGCCUGAAUGCCCCUUAUCAUAGACAGCUUAUCUCCUGUGGUCACUCACCUGACAGACUCCAGAGAGCCACUCAGCGGGCCUCUCCCAGCCGCCUGCUUCUCAGCUCUGACUCUCCCUUGCCUUAAGGGGACACUGGAUUCCAGUGACCCUCCUAUUGGUCAGAGUUGGGCUGAGCACAGAGAAGGGGUAGAAUGCUCCUGGGAACUCGGAAAGCUCUGGGAUGCCAGCUUUUCCCACAUGUUCUCACUCACCCCUCUGUAAUACAGAUUCUGCAGCCCUGCCCCCCACACACACACUCCUACACCUCUGCUCUCAAAGUGAAGAAGUAGGCUAAUAUCUGUGGUACAUUUAUUUACCUACUCCCUGAGACUGCAGCUCCCUUAGUCAGUGUUGUGUCCUCCACUCAGGCUGGGGCUCCCUGAGGAUGGGGCUGUGUCUCCCCUCAGACUGGGGUUCCCCAAGGACAGGGCUGUGUCUCUCCUUAGGCUGGGGUCCCUGAGGGUGGGGCUGUGUCUCCCUGCAGAUUGGGGCUCCCUGAGGAUGGGGCUGUGUCUCCCUGAAGACUGGGGCUCCCUGAGGACAGGGCUGUGUCUCCCCUCAGGCUGGGGCUCCUUGAGGAUGGGACACUUUAAAGAAGAGAAAUUGACAGGUUGACCCUGGGGGAUCUUUGGGUCAAUAAAACAUUCUAUAGACCCUCAGUGGUCAGACUAGGAUGAUACCUUGA